rnacentral:lncRNA from 12 species
GCAAGAUUCAUACUAAUUAUGAACAACUUGCUGGCAAUAUGGCAAAGAGACUGAGUUAUGUGGUUGAAGGUAAAUUUCGAGUUUUCCACCUCCUCAGCAAGUUCUGUAGUUUAGAAGCAGCCCACGUGAGCCAAUUUCUCAGAACCAGUUCA